UAUUUGAGAGGAUCUGUCCUUAGUACGAGAGGACCGGGAUGGACAGACCGCUGGUGUUCCAGUUGUUCCGCCAGGGGCAUUGCUGGGUAGCUAAGUCUGGAAUGGAUAACCGCUGAAAGAAUCUAAGUGGGAAGCCAACCUCAAGAAUAGAUAUCUCUGAGACUUCGGUCUCCUGUAGGCCACUCGUAGACUACGAGAUUGAUAGGCUGGGUGUGUAAGCGCAGUAAUGCGUUCAGCUAACCAGUACUAAUGGGCCGUGAGGCUUAACUUUAU
rnacentral:rRNA from 1 species